CCAAUCGAGUGGUGAGCUGGUGCAGGAAGUCCUUCCUGCGGUCGGUGAUGCGGGCGUGCACCCGCGCCACUUUCUUGCGGGCCUUGGCCCGGUUCGCACUGCCCCUGGCCUUGCGGGACAGGGAGCGUUGCGCCUUGGCCAGGCGGGUCCGAUCCCGCUGUUCGUGCCGGGGGUUGGCGAUCUUCUCCCCGGUGGACAACGUCACCAGGGACGUGAUCCCCGCAUCGACCCCGACCACGUCUUCUGACGCCGGGGCGGCUGUGAUGGUGUCCUGGCACAGCAGUGACGCGAACCAGCGUCCCGCGAGAUGGUCACCGUGGACGGCACCGCACCCUCCGGCAGGGGGCGCGACCACACGAUGUCCAACGGCUGGUCCAUCUUGGCCAGGGUGAGUUUCCCGUUCCGGUAGCGGAACGCGCUCGGGGUGUACUCCGCCGAGGCCCGCGACUUCUUUUUCGACUUGAACCUGGGGUAUCCGGCGCGCCCCGCGAAGAAGUUCGAGAAUGCCCCUUGCAGAUGCCGCAGGGUCUGUUGGAGUGGGACGCUGGAGACCUCGGUGAGAAACCCCAGUUCGUUG
rnacentral:antisense_RNA from 1 species